AUUGAACGCUGGCGGCAGGCCUAACACAUGCAAGUCGAACGAGUGGCGGACGGGUGAGUAAUGACUGGGAAACUGCCUGAUGGAGGGGGAUAACCACUGGAAACGGUAGCUAAUACCGCAUACCAUCAGAUGUGCCAAGAUGGGAUUGGCUUGAUGGUGGGGUAACGGUUUACCAAGGAGAUGAUCCCUGGCUUGUCUGAGAGGAUGACCGUCCAUACGUGAAAUGAGACACUGUCCAGACACCUAUGGGAGGCAGCAGUGGGGAAUAUUGCACAAUGGGCGCAAGCCUGAUGCAGCUGUGCCGCGGGUAUGAAGAAGGCCUUCUGGUUGUAAAGUACUUUCAGCGGGGAUGCGUUGCCCGCAGAAGAAGCACCGGCUAACUCCGUGACAGCCGCCGCGGUAAUUC
rnacentral:rRNA from 1 species